UACGUAGGGUGCGAGCGUUGUCCGGAAUUACUGGGCGUAAAGAGCUCGUAGGUGGUUUGUCGCGUUGUUCGUGAAAAACUCACAGCUCAACUGUGGGCGUGCGGGCGAUACGGGCAGACGUAGAGUACUGCAGGGGAGACUGGAAAUUCCUGGUGUAGCGGUGGAAUGCGCAGAUAUCAGGAGGAACACCGGUGGCGAAGGCGGGUCUCUGGGCAGUAACUGACGCUGAGGAGCGAAAGCGUGGGGGAGCGAACAGG
rnacentral:rRNA from 1 species